GACAGUAUCUUUAUUUUUUUUUUAAUAAAUAGACAGACGAAGCCUUAACAGCCAUAGACCUUGGUGCCUUUGCAGACAAUCUUACAGCACUGGCAAAAAUUCUUACACGGCAGAAUCCGCCAUAUUUGAAUCAGACUGCAGAGGAACUGAGAGGCCAUGCUGCUACACUAUGGCGAAUAUCGAAUAAUACUGUUAAAAAUAUGAGUUCCACAGUGAGAAGCUUGAAACGUUCAUUGAAUGUACUAAAUGACAGUACCAACCUACAGGAUCAAGUGAAUGGCCUAUUAAACCUUUCACAUAAAGCAGAAAGAGCAAUACAGACUAAAGGAAAAGAAAUCAUCAAGAAG